GACAUACAAAAAAGAAAAGAUAAAAUAUCCAUAUAUACUAGUUUUUAUUUUAUAGGAAUCCAUAUAGUAUAUAGUAUUGGAAACACUAGAAGCUAGUUGAAAUAAAUUAUAAUACGAGGAGGCUAUAGGAGAGGAAAAGCGGCGAUCCAGCUUCAGCUGACCAUGUUUUCCGGAUGAGAUGACACUCGUGUGAUUAUUAAGAUUCACUUCAGAUGCUAUCUGGUUUCUGUCCAAACAUACGUACAGAUCAGCAUGCCAAACACCACCACGCUUUCUCUGUUUUUUAUUGGCAAAGGUAUCGUUGCAAAACGAGUUUAAUUACACCUCAUGAUUCUUAUAUUAUUACAUAGGUUAAAUAUAUUUGUAGAUAAAGUUUAUCAUUUUAAUUUUAUUGUUUAUAAAAUAAAAAUACAAUUUAUAGUGUUUAUAAAAAUUUUCUGCAAUUAAUUUAGUUUCUGAUAAAAUAAAAUAUGAUAAAUUGACCUUUAAAAUUAAUUUUUCUUAAAUGAUUUUUUAUAAGUAUGUUCAACAUUAUAAAAAUUUUAUUCAAAAAAUUUAAAUUUUUUUAACUUGAGAUAAAUUAAAUAUGAAUUUUUUAAAUAUAAAAAACUAAAAAUAAGAGUAAAGAAAAUGUUGAUUUAAAAUUCGAAUUUAAAUUAAUUUUAUCUGGAGGAACUUUUUAUUCCAUUAUAAUAAUACUUGAAAAAACUUCAUUAAAAAAUAUAUGUUAACUUAACAAGACCAAAAUUGUAUGCAUGAUAAUUUUAUAGGAACUUAUAUUUUUAUUUUACAAGAAACUAAAAUUGAAAGGUUGAGGUUUUAUAUAUGAGUUUAAUUAAUUGUGGUUAAUUGAUUCUAGUUAAGGACGAAUCGAGUUCGAAUGAUCAAGGAGCUUGGUUAGACUCCCAACUAAACUCUAAAUUAUCGGAACUAAAUUCUCAUGAAAACUGGAGAAUCGAAAAAAACAAAAAGUCUAAUUAAAAUAAUUAAAUUAUAAUUAUCGCACAUAAAAGUAAUAUUUAUUUAUUUUUAACCUUUUUAAGAUUUUUUUUUGUCUAUAUAUGAGAUGAUGUAAUUAUCACCAAAAACUUACACACAACUGCAAAUUUUUAAGUUUGAACUCAAGAUAUGAUAUCAAACCUAACAUGUUAAUUGAGGUAAGACUUAAGAUACUUAUCGAAGAAGAAAUCUAAUAAUCCUUUUGUCUCUCUAUUGCAUAGUUUAUACACAAAUAUUAUAAAAUUGUCUUUUGUGAAUAUAUGUAUUUAAUAUUAAUUUUUUAUAUUUCGAGAUAAAUUAUAGUAAUUAGUAAUGUUUGAAAAAAAAAAUCAUUUAGUAAUUUAAAUGAGCUUAUAUUUUAAGAUAAUUAUUUUUUCUUUUGAUUCCUAUAAUUAGAGAAGAAGGAGGGAGUAGAAAAUGAAGUUUGAGCGUCACCGAUACACGUCUGUCUUUCACCGGCAACACUUCAAUUACAUGAUGUAUCAGCUUUUAUGGACACCACAUAAUUUAGAAAAAUAAUUGGAGCACUCCAAUAAUAAUAAUAUCUCAAUUUAACAAAGCCUGGUACAUCAUAUAACCUUCCACAGUUCAUGCAUAUAAUUAAGCCAACAACAAUUCAUUUACAACAUCUAAAAUGCCUCAUAGUACUUAAAAAAACCAUAAACUUUGGUUUUAUGCUCCAAAAAAUUGUAAUAAUUCAAUCUUUUGGACUACACGUGUUGGAUCUUUUGUUGGUGGUAUGCUGCAGAUUUUGAACAAGAAGAUGAUGAAUUUGAUGAUGAUGAAGGUUGUACAAAUAAAUUUCAAAGCGUGUGCAUCACACUAAGCUUUAGGUUCGAUUCGCCCCUACCAAUCUAUAUAUAUUGGAUGCAAACGGGUUAAUCGACGAAUUCCCUUCAUGAUACUUUGGAAUCCUUGAAGUGAAUUGCACGUUCACAUCAAGCCUAUCGAUCAAUGAUAGUUUACAGAAUAAAGUUUCUUCAUUUACUCUCGUGCACUAGAGAAAAGAAGAAAUGACUCAAAAAUAUUUUUGAUAUAAUUUUGACUCAUGUAACAUAAAUUUUGUGUUGUUUUUCUUGUGUUUUUUCUGCCUCUAAAAUAUAUCUAUUUAUAGAGAUACUCAUACCAAUUGGUCAAAAAAAACAACUAUUCAACUCAUACCAAUUGGUGAAAGAAAACAACUCUUGUGAAAGAUUGCAACUUUUGAUAACUUAAUAGAUGCAUUGAUUUGAAUUAAACCCAAAUAUUGCAACCCACUUGACCAAGUGAUACAUUCAAUUAUUUAAUUUUGCUACAUUAAUAUAACUAUUAGAAAAAUCCAAAUAUAUUUUGGAAAUUUCCCUAACAAUC
rnacentral:lncRNA from 1 species